rnacentral:lncRNA from 1 species
GAGAAAGCGUACUGGGAUACUAGAAUCGGGUAGUAUGUUAGCAGUCCUACAAGUAGAGAAGAAUUACGAUGGUGAAUAUUUUUUUUCUUUUUUGCAUAAAUUGAAUAGUUGGAUAUUGUUUGUUUGUUUGUUUGGAUAAUUUAGGGGGAUUUGAAAUCUAAGCAGUUUCAUAUGUCAGUGUUUCUCCACCAUUAAUCGUGCCCUCUUGAAAUCCUUGUUUAAUUGUCUUUUGAUUCUUAGUUUAAUUAUUAGAUCAUGAAAAUCAUGGAAGUCACACUAAAAAACCGGUUAAUUCGAUUAGCACUUUCUAAACUUUGUAAAUGCAGCUUGGAGACCUUAGGGAAAUUGGACCCAAG